rnacentral:rRNA from 1 species
GCGGACGCUCGUCUCGGAGACUAAGCCAUGCAUGCCCGUGACCGCAAGCGAACGGCGAACGGCUCAGUAAUGCCGCGAUGAUCUGCCCCCCGCGCACGAUAACCGCGGGAAACUGCGG